rnacentral:tRNA from 2 species
GCGGUCGUGGCGGAAUUGGUAGACGCACUACCUUGAGGUGGUAGCGGGGCGACCCGUGGAAGUUCGAGUCUUCUCGACCGCACCA